rnacentral:rRNA from 1 species
GAUGAACGCUGGCGGCGUGCUUAACACAUGCAAGUCGAACGAUGAACCGGGUGCUUGCACUCGGGGAUUAGUGGCGAACGGGUGAGUAACACGUGAGCAACCUGCCCCUGACUCUGGGAUAAGCGCUGGAAACGGCGUCUAAUACUGGAUAUGUCCCGUCACCGCAUGGUGUGCGGGUGGAAAGCUUUUUCGGUUGGGGAUGGGCUCGCGGCCUAUCAGCUUGUUGGUGAGGUAAUGGCUCACCAAGGCGUCGACGGGUAGCCGGCCUGAGAGGGUGACCGGCCACACUGGGACUGAGACACGGCCCAGACUCCUACGGGAGGCAGCAGUGGGGAAUAUUGCACAAUGGGCGGAAGCCUGAUGCAGCAACGCCGCGUGAGGGAUGACGGCCUUCGGGUUGUAAACCUCUUUUAGCAGGGAAGAAGCGAGAGUGACGGUACCCGCAGAAAAAGCACCGGCUAACUACGUGCCAGCCGCCGCCGUAA